AGAUGAGAGGGCACUCUGGUUGUGCUAUCUGUCAUCAUAUUGAUUGUCAGAGUCACUUUGGCUGAUCGGGCUGGCUGUGUGGGUGUGUCCUAGUUCACCAGUCUCUGUUCACCCCUGUGAGGCUGCAUGCUCAGUGGAAAAGAAAGUUUAUGGGCCGCUGUGCUUCCCCUGCUAGAACCUCCAGAUAAGCUCUCAAGGAUUUGUUUGCUAAUAUUAGAGAAGUUUUUGUUAAUCAACUACAACUUUCACAAACAUUUGUUUUUUUAAU
rfam:Erinaceus europaeus unplaced genomic scaffold scaffold00598, whole genome shotgun sequence